rnacentral:rRNA from 1 species
GACGAACCGUGCGAACGUUGUUCGGAAUCACUGGGCUUAAAGAGCGCGUAGGCGGGCAUCCAAGUCAGUGGUGAAAUCCUCCGGCCUAACCGGAGAAGAGCUGUUGAUACUGGGUGCCUCGAGUGGUGCAGGGGUCUGCGGAACUUCCGGUGGAGCGGUGAAAUGCGUAGAGAUCGGAAGGAACGCCGGUGGCGAAAGCACUCUGCUGGGCCGACACUGACACUGAGAGACGAAAGCUAGGGGAGCGAAUGGG